AUAGCCUCUGUGUAGGUCGACACAGCUCUGUGUAGGUCGAUAUAGCCUCUGUGUAGGUCGAUGUAGCUCUGUGUAGGUCGAUGUAGCUCUGUGUAGGUCGAUAUAGCUCUGUGUAGGUCGAUAUAGCUCUGUGUAGGUCAUUGCAGCUCUGUGUAGGUUGAUGUAGCUCUGUGUAGGUCGAUAUAGCUCUGUGUAGGUCGAUGCAGCUCUGUGUAGGUCGAUAUAGCCUCUGUGUAGGUCGAUAUAGCCUCUGUGUAGGUCGAUGUAGCUCUGUGUAGGUCGACAUACAGAGUUAUAUCGACUCUCAGCUCAUCUCAUAACCCUCAGCUCAUCUCAUAACCCUCAUCUCAUAACCCUCAGAUCAUGUCAUAACCCUCAGCUCAUCUCAUAACCCUCAUCUCAUAACCCUCAGCUCAUCUCAUAACCCUCGUCUCAUAACCCUCAGCUCAUCUCAUAACCCUCGUCUCAUAACCCUCAGCUCAUCUCAUAACCCUCAUGUCAUAACCCUCAGCUCAUCUCAUAACCCUCGUCUCAUAACCCUCAGCUCAUCUCAGAACCCUCGUCUCAUAACCCUCAGCUCAUCUCAGAACCCUCGUCUCAUAACCCUCAGCUCAUCUCAUAACCCUCAUCUCAUAACCCUAAUCUCAUAACCCUCGUCUCAUAACCCUCA
ensembl:lncRNA